rnacentral:rRNA from 1 species
AGCAAGCUGGCGGCGUGCUUUACACACGCAAAUCGAGCGAACGAAGCCCCUUCGGGACGGCACUAGCGGCGGACGGGUGAGUAACACGUGGGUAACCUGCCUCAUAGAGGGGAACAGCCUUUCGAAAGGAAGAUUAAUACCGCAUAAGAUUGGAGUGGCGCAUGGCAUAGCAAUUAAAGGAGUAAUCCGCUAUAAGAUGGACCCGCGGCGCAUUAGCUAGUUGGUGAGGUAAUGGCUCACCAAGGCGACGAUGCGUAGCCGACCUGAGAGGGUGAUCGGCCACAUUGGAACUGAGAUACGGUCCAGACUCUUACGGGAGGCAGCAGUGGGGAAUAUUGCACAAUGGGGGAAA